UACGUAGGGGGCAAGCGUUGUCCGGAUUUAUUGGGCGUAAAGAGCGUGUAGGCGGCCAGAUAGGUCCGUUGUGAAAACUCGAGGCUCAACCUCGAGACGCCGAUGGAAACCAUUUGGCUAGAGUCCGGAAGAGGAGAGUGGAAUUCCUGGUGUAGCGGUGAAAUGCGCAGAUAUCAGGAAGAACACCCGUGGCGAAGGCGGCUCUCUGGGACGGUACUGACGCUGAGACGCGAAAGCCAGGGGAGCAAACGGG
rnacentral:rRNA from 1 species